GCGCUCGUAGUUCAGCUGGAUUAGAAUGCCAGACUACGAAUCUGGAGGUCGGGGGUUCGAGUCCCUCCGAGCGCG
rnacentral:tRNA from 2 species